GGACUACUAGGGUAUCUAAUCCCGUUCGCUCCCCAUGCUGUCGUGUCUGAGCGUCAGUUGCGAGCCAGGGCGCCGCCUUCGCCUCUGGGGUUCCUCCGGAUCUCUACGCAUUUCACCACUACACCCGGAAUUCCACGCCCCUCUCUCGCACUCUAGACGGCCAGUCUGGCAUAACCCCGCCCGGUUGAGCCGGGCGAUUUCAUACACCACUUGACCAUCCGCCUGCACACGCUUUACACCCAGUAAAUCCGGAUAACGCUCGCCACCUACGUUUUACCGCGGCUGCUGGCAC
rnacentral:rRNA from 1 species